UGGGGAAUAUUGGGCAAUGGGCGCAAGCCUGACCCAGCAACGCCGCGUGAAGGAAGAAGGCUUUCGGGUUGUAAACUUCUUUUAUCAGGGACGAAGCAAGUGACGGUACCUGAUGAAUAAGCCACGGCUAACUACGUGCCAGCAGCCGCGGUAAUACGUAGGUGGCGAGCGUUAUCCGGAUUUACUGGGUGUAAAGGGCGUGUAGGCGGGCUUGCAAGUCAGAUGUGAAAUUCCAGGGCUCAACCCUGGAACUGCAUUUGAAACUGUAGGUCUUGAGUGCUGGAGAGGCAAUCGGAAUUCCGUGUGUAGCGGUGAAAUGCGUAGAUAUACGGAGGAACACCAGUGGCGAAGGCGGAUUGCUGGACAGUAACUGACGCUGAGGCGCGAAAAGCUGGGGUAGCAAAAGCAGGAUUAGAUACCC
rnacentral:rRNA from 1 species